rnacentral:rRNA from 1 species
GCGGCAGGCCUAAUACAUGCAAGUCGAGGGGUAACAGGAAGUGCUUGCACUUCGCUGACGACCGGCGCACGGGUGAGUAUCGCGUAUACAAUCUGCCUCAUACUAGGGAAUAGCCCGAAGAAAUUUGGAUUAAUGCCCUAUAGUAUCUUUUUAAGGCAUCUUAUUAAGAUUAAAGGUUACGGUAUGAGAUGAGUAUGCGUUCUAUUAGCUAGUAGGUGUGGUAACGGCACACCUAGGCUACGAUAGAUAGGGGCCCUGAGAGGGGGAUCCCCCACACUGGUACUGAGACACGGACCAGACUCCUACGGGAGGCAGCAGUAAGGAAUAUUGGUCAAUGGACGAAAGUCUGAACCAGCCAUGCCGCGUGCAGGAUGACUGCCCUAUGGGUUGUAAACUGCUUUUAUAUAGGAAGAAAAACUUUCUCGUGAGAAAGCUUGACGGUACUAUAAGAAUAAGGAUCGGCUAA